rnacentral:rRNA from 1 species
AUUGAACGCUGGCGGCAGGCCUAACACAUGCAAGUCGAACGAGUGGCGGACGGGUGAGUAAUGUAUGGGAAACUGCCUGAUGGAGGGGGAUAACUACUGGAAACGGUAGCUAAUACCGCAUACCAUCAGAGGUGCCCAGAUGGGAUUAGCUUGUUGGUGGGGUAACGGCUCACCAAGGCGACGAUCCCUAGCUGGUCUGAGAGGAUGACCAGCCACACUGGAACUGAGACACGGUCCAGACUCCUACGGGAGGCAGCAGUGGGGAAUAUUGGACAAUGGGGGCAAGCCUGAUGCAGCCAUGCCGCGUGUAUGAAGAAGGCCUUCGGGUUGUAAAGUACUUUUAGCGGGGAGGCGGUAUCUGCAGAAUAAGCACCGGCUAACUCCGUGCCAGCAGCCGCGGUAAUUC